rnacentral:piRNA from 1 species
UGGGCAAGGACACACGCACACACACACAC